AACAGAAGACUGAAGGAACGAGUGCAGCAGAGUGGACGUGAGGGAGGACAAGAGUAAAAAAAAAAAGAAAGAAGGCAGAAUUCAGCCUCAGUGAAUGGGCGUGGAGGUUUCACAAAGAGUUUCAGUCCAGAUCGUCCUUCCUGUCAUUCUGCAACUUUUAUGACAUCAAGUUUUCACACAGAGGCCGGCCACCGUCAGAGGACUCGUUUCACUUCAACGGGAUCAGGUUUGGAUGUUCAGGAGGGAGAAUUUCCUGACUUUUUUUUUUAAAGAAAGCGCGCUCGUCUCCUGUGAGAGGAAUCUUUAGGGAGGAACACAGAUAAUAAGCCUUACUCCUUUAUUUAUCUCUUGAAACUGGACAAACUCGGCUUCACAGAAGCUCAGCCUGAGGAGUGGAUCCAAGACACGGCAGAAUUUGACCAGAAAUGUCCUCCCAGCACUUACCAAUGGACACAUUGGGAGCAAAUGGCGCCCUGAUAACCCACGGGUCGGCUGAUGGACCAGGUGACGAAGAGCGCGGGAACGCGGGGCCCCCGGUGCUGUUCUGCAACCACAAGCACCACAGGAGACUGGCCGUGUGCAGCGUCAUCUGUGGCCUCUCCUGCAUCGGAAUCCACGCGCUGAAAUAUUCAUUCAUGGCUGAACAUGCACGGGGUACAGAAAAAGCUAAAAAUCUCUCUCGGCGAGCAAAGAAAUGGAGCGUCAUCUCCAUUGUGACGUGGGUCUCCAUCAUCGUCUCCAUCCCCAUUCUGAUGGCACUUUUCUCGUAUCUCGCCACCUUAAAGGACUGAUGAACCCAAACGGGGGGAACGAUCCUGUGAAAUAUCGUUUGGGUUCUGUGAAAAGGACUGAGCUAACACAAAACUAAAAAACAAAAUAAAGACUGCGCCGUCUUCAUCCUGCUGAUGGAAAAACUGGUUUUAUACAAACAACCCGCCUUCAGCUGAAAUAACUUCACAACUUUUACAUGUAUUAUAUUUAUUUAACAUCUUUAAAUGACCAUAUAAAAUCCGGUAUUGCCUAUAAUUUAAAACAUGACACAAACAGGUGCAUUCGAAAGGUUUUCUGCAUGCUUUGACCACAGAAAUCCUAAAAAAAAAAAACAAUUUCUUUGUCUUUGAGGAGACUAUGAAUGAAAAUAAUCCAGAUUAACAAAAGAAAUGUGGAAAAAAUAAACUAAAGAGGCUGAAACCUUUCCAAACGCACUUACACGUGUCAGAUUAGAGCAGUCA